AUGAUGUCACAAAACAUGGUGGACUACUCUUGCGAAAUGAUAUCUGUUUAUCAAUUUUGUGUAUCGUAUUUAUCCUGUUUCCGCAACUUUAUAGAAUAAACAUCAGAUCCUCAGUCUAGAGCAUCCACGCAUACGUACAUUAUCUCAAAUUUUAAUCCAAGCUUAUACACCCAGUAUGAGUAGAUCAAAUCAGCAUUUUGUGGCCAGCCUCAUACACACCAUAGCUACUCACACAUCAGAUGUGAACUCAGUGGCUUUCUCACCAGAUGGGACACUUGCAACAGCGUCAGGAGACAAAACAGUGAGGCUGUGGGAUACAGCAGAUUUCUCUGAACUUACUGCGUCCCCACUGGUCGGCCAUUCUUAUUAUGUUCACUGUUGCACAUUUUCACCAUUUGGAACCAUUCUUGCAACAUGCUCUACCGACGGCAAGCUCAUCCUUUGGGAUGUCAAAUCAGGGUCCAAGGUUGCAACUUUUCAACACAGCAGCAAACAGAGUAUCAGAGUCUGCCGAUUUUCUCCUGACUCCAACUAUAUUGUAUCAGGGAGUGACGAUGAAACUCUUGCUCUUUGGGAUAUAACAACAAAAACAUUAGUCAGGUCCUACAACACCUGUAAUGAUGCCUCAGUAGUCGCCUGUGCCUUUACACCUGACAGUACCUUCAUUGUAUCAGGCAGCAGCAUUGGAGACUUGAGAGUCUGGGAUGCCAAGUAUGGGCAUGGGAAAGCUCUGAGUUACACCUUAGAUUGUCACGACCUUGGGGUCACAAGCUGCGACUUCUCCCCACACAUUAAGGUCAAGGACCAUGGUAUCAGUGGCUGUGUGACCUAUGAAUUAGCCACCUCUGGGCAGGACAAUCUCGUGAAGAUAUGGGAAAUGACUGCAGACUUAAGCUGUGCUUUGGUUCUAAAACAGAAACUGACUCUGAAAGGACACGAGGGAACUGUAAACUUCUGCUGUUUUUCAUCGAAUGGAAGCUUCAUAGCCUCAGCGUAAGUUUCUUUGAGCUUUGUUAUUGAUUCAAUGACCUGCUGGUGAAUGCAUCUUAUGCCUUUUGAGAGAAUUUGUAAGUGUUGGUUCUUUGCUUCAACAUCUAAAAUUUGGUUGUUUCUACUUCAGCUCCAUUGACAAAACGGUCCGUGUUUGGGAUUCUUCUACUGGGCAGCAGCUGUGCGAGGUUGAGGGACACACUCGUUACGUGACAAGCUGUGCUUUCUCCAAUGAUAGUCGACUACUAGCGUCAGGAUCAAACGACAAGUUGGUGAUGAUCUGGAAACUCACAACACAAGAAGAUUGCAUUGACAAUUACAAAGAACCACAGUGUGCUCUGAAGACCAAAGAUGCCAACGGUGUACACAAACCUAUGGACUCUUGGUCUGCCGAAGAAGUCGGUGAUUGGUUAGGGCAAAUUGACCUUGGCCAAUACAGAGACAACUUCGUAUCCAACGCCAUCGAUGGGACAGAACUCUGUAACAUGAAUGACAAGAUGCUCAUAGAUCUGGGUGUUGCUGCCAUGGGUCACAGAAAUAAGAUUAUACGCUGCAUUAAAACGGCUCAGAACAAACCCACAGUUAGCAGGAGUGUUUCCAAUUUGUCAGAUAAUGGUAUUCCUGAUGAGUACUUAUGUCCCAUCACCAGGGAAGUCAUGAAAGAUCCUGUAAUGGCAGAGGAUGGCUACACGUAUGAGCGAUCAGCUAUCCAGGGAUGGAUAGACAAAGGGAAGGAUACCAGCCCAAUGACCAGUAUACCACUCAAGACCAAGCAACUGAUUCCCAACAGGAGCCUGAAGAUGCUGAUUCAGAACUAUCUAGACAGUGGCAAAGGAUGAUGUGUAGUGAACCACGUACAAGGCCCAAAUGUACAAUUUGUUGAACGUCUGUGCAACAGACAAUUUCAGUUGUUAUAUAUUGUGAUAUUUGCAUAGAGAUCAAUUUAAACCUGUGUAAAAUAUGCUAUCUUACAUUAAUUACAUUAUAAAAGAUG
rnacentral:misc_RNA from 1 species